CUUUAGCAGCACCUGCACAGGCACCCACAGCUGUCAACCAAUCUGGAAUAUUCAGCUUGAUCUGCCCAGGGCAGCUUUUGCCUGGGCCCAGGCUGCCAGCACGGACCAAUGGAGCAUGAUUACCCGAUGCAGAGAGCAUACCUUGAACCCACAGACUGGACACAUCAUGGGGUUCCCUCCUCCACAGAAUACAGUCUAUCCAAAUGACG
rnacentral:lncRNA from 1 species